UACGUAGGGGGGCAAGCGUUGUCCGGAAUCAUUGGGCGUAAAGAGCGUGUAGGCGGCCCGGUAAGUCCGCUGUGAAAGUCGGGGGGCUCAACCCUCGAAUGCCGGUGGAUACUGUCGGGCUAGAGUGCGGAAGAGGCGAGUGGAAUUCCUGGUGUAGCGGUGAAAUGCGCAGAUAUCAGGAGGAACACCAAUUGCGAAGGCAGCUCGCUGGGACGUAACUGACGCUGAGGAGCGAAAAGCAUGGGGAGCGAACAGG
rnacentral:rRNA from 1 species